AUUGAACGCUGGCGGCAGGCCUAACACAUGCAAGUCGAACGGUAACAGGAAGCAGCUUGCUGCUUCGCUGACGAGUGGCGGACGGGUGAGUAAUGUCUGGGAAACUGCCUGAUGGAGGGGGAUAACUAAUGGAAACGGUAGCUAAUACCGCAUAACGUCGCAAGACCAAAGAGGGGGACCUUCGGGCCUCUUGCCAUAGGAUGAGCCCAGAUGGGAUUAGCUAGUAGGUGGGGUAACGGCUCACCUAGGCGACGAUCCCUAGCUGAGCUGAGAGGAUGCCCAGCCACACUGGAACUGAGACACGGUCCAGAAUCCUACGGGAGGCAGCAGUGGGGAAUAUUGCACAAUGGGCGCAAGCCUGAUGCAGCCAUGCCGCGUGUAUGAAGAAGGCCUUCGGGUUGUAAAGUACUUUCAGCGGGGAGGAAGGCGAUAAGGUUAAUAACCUUGUCGAUUGACGUUACCCGCAGAAGAAGCACCGGCUAACUCCGUGCCAGCAGCCGCCGUAA
rnacentral:rRNA from 1 species